rnacentral:rRNA from 1 species
AUUGAACGCUGGCGGCAGGCUUAACACAUGCAAGUCGAACGGCAGCACGGGAGCAAUCCUGGUGGCGAGUGGCGAACGGGUGAGUAAAGUAUCGGAACGUGCCCAGUCGUGGGGGAUAACGUAGCGAAAGUUACGCUAAUACCGCAUACGAUCUAUGGAUGAAAGCGGGGGAUCGCAAGACCUCGCGCGAUUGGAGCGGCCGAUAUCAGAUUAGGUAGUUGGUGGGGUAAAGGCUCACCAAGCCGACGAUCUGUAGCUGGUCUGAGAGGACGACCAGCCACACUGGGACUGAGACACGGCCCAGACUCCUACGGGAGGCAGCAGUGGGGAAUUUUGGACAAUGGGCGAAAGCCUGAUCCAGCCAUGCCGCGUGCAGGGUGAAGGCCUUCGGGUUGUAAACUGCUUUUGUACGGAACGAAAAGGUUUGGGCUAAUAAGCUGAGCUCAUGACGGUACCGUAAGAAUAAGCACCGGCUAACUACGUGCCAGCAGCCGCGGUAA